UCCGUGGUAACACCACGGCAGUCCCCCGUGACACAGGUAACACGGGGCAAGGGUUGCGCUCGUUGCGGGACUUAACCCAACAUCUCACGACACGAGCUGACGACAGCCAUGCAGCACCGGUGCACCACCCUCGAAGGCUGCAGCGUUUCCGCUGCAUGCAGGUGCAUGUCAAGCCUGGGUAAGGUUCUGCGUGUUGCGUCGAAUUAAACCACACGCUCCGCUGCUUGUGCGGGCCCCCGUCAAUUUCUUUGAGUUUUAAUCUUGCGACCGUACUCCCCAGGCGGGAUGCUUAAUGCGUUAGCUGCGCCACUGACCGGUAAACCGGCCAACGGCUAGCACUCAUCGUUUACGGCGUGGACUAC
rnacentral:misc_RNA from 1 species